GCCGCCGGCGCACGGGUCGUUGGGAAGAGGAGGUGGCCCGCGGCCCCUCGGAGUCCCACCAGGGUCGGUCGCCAUCUUGCGACUGGACAGAAAGGAUAAUCCCUCCUUUUAGUUUGUGCUGUCUGUGACCCGAAAGAAUAAACCUGGUACAUCCGGAAGCCCUCUGGGCACCCCCCAGGAGGGUUGCAGAGCCCCUUGGUGUACCCAGCCGAGGAAUGCCUCCGACUGUGUAGGGAGACGAAUGGCUCCGAAAGUCAGCUGAAACCGCAGGAAUAGUCCCCAGCCCCGAGGCGGGGCAGGUGCCUGGCGUUAUUAACUUUUCCACCCCAACCCUUUUCUAUCUGGAGCUGUCUUUAUAGGUGUUGCAGGGGUGCCCCGAGAGUGCAGGCCAGAUUUUAGAGGACCAAGGUCAUCUGCUUAGGCCUCUUGCCAACACGGGAUGUGUCAACUAGUUUACCGGAGACGAAGGUGUGUUUUUCCCAGAAAAACAACUUUGUAUCUACUAAGUGAACAGUGAUUUCUUCAGACUUUUCUUGUCAAAAUGAGACCCAGUGGUUUCUAAUAAUUUUCUCAUUUCAAGUGUACAGUAAAAAGAACAAUUUAAUUUUAUAAACAUCUGCAUCCAAUGCCUUGAGCAAACUUUGAGCUAAUGUUUACCCAGAACUAUUUGUAUGUCAUACGUUGGACUACUUGAACUACUAUUUAUGUUCCAGACCUUGGGAAACAAUAAAAGAUGAACAGUCUCUAUCCCUGCCCUCAA